CGGCGAUGAUGACAAAAGAAGGCCGGACUUACGGCUGCUACCGUUAUUAAUUUCUUUGGGUUUUGGUAGUAGAUUGAUGAAUCCUCUGGGUAAAGGUGUAAUGUCUGAGCCGG